rnacentral:rRNA from 1 species
CGCGCAGCUUACCAUGCAAGUCGAACGAUGAACCGGUUUCGGCCGGGGAUUAGUGGCGAACGGGUGAGUAACACGUGGGCAAUCUGCCCUGCACUCUGGGACAAGCCCUGGAAACGGGGUCUAAUACCGGAUAUGACACGCUCCCGCAUGGGAUGUGUGUGGAAAGCUCCGGCGGUGCAGGAUGAGCCCGCGGCCUAUCAGCUUGUUGGUGGGGUGAUGGCCUACCAAGGCGACGACGGGUAGCCGGCCUGAGAGGGCGACCGGCCACACUGGGACUGAGACACGGCCCAGACUCCUACGGGAGGCAGCAGUGGGGAAUAUUGCACAAUGGGCGAAAGCCUGAUGCAGCGACGCCGCGUGAGGGAUGACGGCCUUCGGGUUGUAAACCUCUUUCAGCAGGGAAGAAGCGAGAGUGACGGUACCUGCAGAAGAAGCGCCGGCUAACUACGUGCCAGCAGCCGCGGUAAUACGUAGGGCGCAAGCGUUGUCCGGAAUUAUUGGGCGUAAAGAGCUCGUAGGCGGCUUGUCGCGUCGGAUGUGAAAGCCCGGGGCUUAACUCCGGGUCUGCAUUCGAUACGGGCAGGCUAGAGUUCGGUAGGGGAGAUCGGAAUUCCUGGUGUAGCGGUGAAAUGCGCAGAUAUCAGGAGGAACACCGGUGGCGAAGGCGGAUCUCUGGGCCGAUACUGACGCUGAGGAGCGAAAGCGUGGGGAGCGAACAGGAUUAGAUACCCUGGUAGUCCACGCCGUAAACGUUGGGAACUAGGUGUGGGCGACAUUCCACGUCGUCCGCGCCGCAGCUAACGCAUUAAGUUCCCCGCCUGGGGAGUACGGCCGCAAGGCUAAAACUCAAAGGAAUUGACGGGGGCUCCGCACAAGCGGCGGAGCAUGUGGCUUAAUUUCGACGCAACGCGAAGAACCUUACCAAGGCUUGACAUACACCCGGAAACCUCUGGAGACAGGGGCCCCCUUGUGGUUCGGUGUACAGGUGGUGCAUGUCUGUCGUCAGCUCGUGUCCGUGAGAU